UCGAGAAUUUUUCACAAUGGGCGCAAGCCUGAUGGAGCGACGCCGCGUGGGGGAUGAAGGGUUUCGAUCCGUAAACCCCUGUCAUUUGCGAACAAACCUUAACCGAUAACACCGGUUGAGCUGAUUGUAGCGGAAGAGGAAGGGACGGCUAACUCUGUGCCAGCAGCCGCGGUAAUACAGAGGUCCCAAGCGUUGUUCGGAUUCACUGGGCGUAAAGGGUGCGUAGGUGGCCGGGUAAGUUCGAUGUGAAAGCUCGGAGCUCAACUCCGAAAUGGCAUUGAAUACUAUCCGGCUCGAGGGUCGGAGGGGAGACUGGAAUUCUCGGUGUAGCAGUGAAAUGCGUAGAUAUCGAGAGGAACACCAGUGGCGAAGGCGAGUCUCUGGACGACUCCUGACACUGAGGCACGAAAGCUAGGGGAGCAAACAGG
rnacentral:rRNA from 1 species